CCAGCUAAGGUCCCAAAGUCAUGGUUAAGUGGGAAACGAUGUGGGAAGGCCCAGACAGCCAGGAUGUUGGCUUAGAAGCAGCCAUCAUUUAAAGAAAGCGUAAUAGCUCACUGGUCGAGUCGGCCUGCGCGGAAGAUGUAACGGGGCUAAACCAUGCACCGAAGCUGCGGCAGCGACACUGUGUGUUGUUGGGUAGGGGAGCGUUCUGUAAGCCUGUGAAGGUGUGUCGUGAGGCAUGCUGGAGGUAUCAGAAGUGCGAAUGCUGACAUAAGUAACGAUAAAGCGGGUGAAAAGCCCGCUCGCCGGAAGACCAAGGGUUCCUGUCCAACGUUAAUCGGGGCAGGGUGAGUCGACCCCUAAGGCGAGGCCGAAAGGCGUAGUCGAUGGGAAACGGGUUAAUAUUCCCGUACUUGGUGUUACUGCGAAGGGGGGACGGAGAAGGCUAUGUUGGCCGGGCGACGGUUGUCCCGGUUUAAGCGUGUAGGUGUGUGUUCCAGGUAAAUCCGGUUCACUUUAACACUGAGGCGUGACGACGAGGCACUACGGUGCUGAAGCAACAAAUGCCCUGCUUCCAGGAAAAGCCUCUAAGCAUCAGGUAACAUCAAAUCGUACCCCAAACCGACACAGGUGGUCAGGUAGAGAAUACCAAGGCGCUUGAGAGAACUCGGGUGAAGGAACUAGGCAAAAUGGUGCCGUAACUUCGGGAGAAGGCACGCUGACACGUAGGUGAAGUGAUUUACUCAUGGAGCUGAAGUCAGUCGAAGAUACCAGCUGGCUGCAACUGUUUAUUAAAAACACAGCACUGUGCAAACACGAAAGUGGACGUAUACGGUGUGACGCCUGCCCGGUGCCGGAAGGUUAAUUGAUGGGGUCAGCGCAAGCGAAGCUCCUGAUCGAAGCCCCGGUAAACGGCGGCCGUAACUAUAACGGUCCUAAGGUAGCGAAAUUCCUUGUCGGGUAAGUUCCGACCUGCACGAAUGGCGUAAUGAUGGCCAGGCUGUCUCCACCCGAGACUCAGUGAAAUUGAACUCGCUGUGAAGAUGCAGUGUACCCGCGGCAAGACGGAAAGACCCCGUGAACCUUUACUAUAGCUUGACACUGAACAUUGAGCCUUGAUGUGUAGGAUAGGUGGGAGGCUUUGAAGUGUGGACGCCAGUCUGCAUGGAGCCGACCUUGAAAUACCACCCUUUAAUGUUUGAUGUUCUAACGUGGACCCGUUACCCGGGUUGCGGACAGUGUCUGGUGGGUAGUUUGACUGGGGCGGUCUCCUCC
rnacentral:rRNA from 2 species